rnacentral:rRNA from 1 species
AACUGAAGAGUUUGAUCAUGGCUCAGAUUGAACGCUGGCGGCAGGCUUAACACAUGCAAGUCGAGCGGGGGAAGGUAGCUUGCUACUGGACCUAGCGGCGGACGGGUGAGUAAUGCUUAGGAAUCUGCCUAUUAGUGGGGGACAACAUCUCGAAAGGGAUGCUAAUACCGCAUACGUCCUACGGGAGAAAGCAGGGGAUCUUCGGACCUUGCGCUAAUAGAUGAGCCUAAGUCGGAUUAGCUAGUUGGUGGGGUAAAGGCCUACCA